GGAAAGGGAAUUCAAAUGAUGUGGGCUGAGCGUAGUGACUGAAAAACAAUACAGGCCAUUUCAUUUUUAUAGCCUCAAAAAACUGCUUUCACACUGAAUGUGGAAUUAUGAAGUUAGGUCGAAGUAAUGGAGAUGAUUUUGUAAGGAAAGCAGAAAGAACACUAACAGCUAUUGCACAGACGUUAAUAGCUGAAUGAGAACAUCUGAAAGUCCAUCUCCGAUUUUCUUUCAUCGACACUAACUCAGUUUGACAGUCGGUACCCAAUAGAACUAUAUAUCACAACAUGAACUAGAGUUGGCCAGACAUUUAAAUGCUCACCAGCCCUGAACUCACAAGGCCGUUUUUAACCUCUAGCUUGUUUGUAGAUUGCUGCUCAAGCAUCCGAGGCCCACAUCAGUGAUUUUCCUCUUUGGCUGAAGGUCAGAAUCUAACUCACGAACUCCAGAAUCUGAUUCCUAAACUCCAUCCCCAGAGAUUCUGGUUUAUUCCAUG